AGCGAACGCUGGCGGCAGGCCUAACACAUGCAAGUCGAACGAACCUUUCGGGGUUAGUGGCGGACGGGUGAGUAACACGUGGGAACGUGCCCUUAGGUUCGGAAUAACUCAGGGAAACUUGUGCUAAUACCGAAUGUGCCCUUCGGGGGAAAGAUUUAUCGCCUUUAGAGCGGCCCGCGUCUGAUUAGCUAGUUGGUUGAGGUAAUGGCUCACCAAGGCGACGUUCAGUAGCUGGUCUGAGAGGAUGAUCAGCCACAUUGGGACUGAGACACGGCCCAAACUCCUACGGGAGGCAGCAGUGGGGAAUCUUGCGCAAUGGGCGAAAGCCUGACGCAGCCAUGCCGCGUGAAUGAUGAAGGUCUUAGGAUUGUAAAAUUCUUUCACCGGGGACGAUAAUGACGGUACCCGGAGAAGAAGCCCCGGCUAACUUCGUG
rnacentral:rRNA from 1 species